rnacentral:rRNA from 1 species
GACGAACGCUGGCGGCGUGCUUAACACAUGCAAGUCGAACGGAAAGGCCCUGCUUUUGUCUGGUUCUCGAGUGGCGAACGGGUGUGUAACCCGUGAGUCACCUUCCCUUUGCUGGGUGAUAUCUUCAGGCAACUGGUGCUAAUACCGACUAGGAGCUCCUGCUACAUGGUGGUGUUUGGAAAGUUUCGUCGGUGGUGGAUGUACUUGGGGCUUAUUAGCUUGUUGGGGGGGUAAAGGCCUACCAAGGCGUCGAUCCGUAACCGGCCUGAGAGGAUGAUCAGUCACACUGGAACUGAGACACGGUCCAGACUCCUACGGGAGGCAGCAGUGGGGAAUAUUGGACAAUGGGCGAAAGCCUGAUCCAGCCAUGCCGCGUGUGUGAAGAAGGUCUUCGGAUUGUAAAGCACUUUAAGUUGGGAGGAAGGGCAGUAAGUUAAUACCUUGCUGUUUUGACGUUACCAACAGAAUAAGCACCGGCUAACUUCGUG